AAGAGAGACCGAGAGACAGAGAAAUAGAGAGGCAGAGAACGCAGAAGGAGAGAGAGAUCGAGAGAUCAAAAGCUGCACGCUCUAAAAAUUGAAACUCAAAACACACAAUCAUCCAUUCUUUCCAUUUGUUAACACAAACGGCCAAAAGAAAAGAUUUUCCCUGCCGAUGAAAAAGAAAAAACAGAAGCCCAUUGACAUAUUUCCACGGUUUGCAAUCAAGAAUGAAAAGAAGUCUCUCACUUUCCUGUCAGAUUUCUUCAUCUAAUUGUCCAUUAAUUUCUUUCACCGUUUGACAUUCUCAUCUGCACGCCCUCAAGUUCAACCAGAUUUCGGAAUCGGAAUGAUUGUGUUAGUGAAAUAAGCUGCAUCACUUCCCAAUGAAAACUUCAAAGUCACUGUAACUGAGACUUGCUCUUCCACCCUGUUUCGUUUCUUCUCUGUAACUCCAUACACACAUGGUCAGAAUAGCGUGGUUAAUUUCCCUCUUUCGGAUACUCUCUCUGAUGAUUUGGCCCACUUUUUAACUGUUUGCAUGUUCCGUUCCAGACCAACAGACAGAGGAAAAAAGAAAAUCCAAAAGGUGCAAACUGGAAUUUUGUGUAUGGACAUGAUGCUAUAGAUUUCUGGUGGGCAUCAGUAUAGCCAAUUCAUAUUUCAUGGGGCUGGUAUCUCACCCUUUCAAUUGCCAGGUGCUCUAUACAAAGGCAUAUAUUAAUUUUGAAAUAUCAAAGGCUGUGGUUGAAUGGAUCAGAGAGCUUGAUGAGAGACUUAUAGACAUAUUAAAGCAUUUGAAGGUCUGGAUAAGCCAUAAAAAGUUGGAGGUUACUUUUAACUUUGUGCCAAGAUAGAGUAAACCACUCAAAUUUCUUAUAUUGGUGUACUGUUUUAAGAGAUUUGAGCUUUUAUAGGACUUUGAACUUCUGUUAAUAUUCAUGUAUUACUUAAGGUUUUUUUUUGUAUGGAAACUUCCAUAUGGAUCUAACAUUUCUUUAUUGUUAUAUUUUUUUUAAUUAUGUUUUAAUUACUUGAAUUUUUUCCUUGAAUUAGAAGCAUAUAAGUUUGUGAACGUAUAAGAAAACUUACUUUGUUCUGUAUAACCAAAUUUGUAGUCCAACUUGCAACAGAUUUUGAUUGCAAGGAGAUAUGGGUACACUUUUUGCAAUUU